rnacentral:rRNA from 1 species
AUUGAACGCUGGCGGCAGGCCUAACACAUGCAAGUCGAGCGGAGCGGCGGACGGGUGAGUAAUGCCUAGGAAUCUGCCUGGUAGUGGGGGAUAACGUCCGGAAACGGGCGCUAAUACCGCAUACUAUCAGAUGAGCCUAGGUCGGAUUAGCUAGUUGGGGGGGUAAAGGCCUACCAAGGCGACGAUCCGUAACUGGUCUGAGAGGAUGAUCAGUCACACUGGAACUGGGACACGGUCCAGAGUCCGACGGGAGGCAGCAGUGGGGAAUAUUGGACAAUGGGGGAAAGCCUGAUCCAGCCAUGCCGCGGGUAUGAAGAAGGCCGUCGGAUUGUAAAGUACUUGAAGUUGGGAGGCGUUACCAGCAGAAUAAGCACCGGCUAACUCCGUGCCAGCAGCCGCGGUAAUUC